rnacentral:rRNA from 1 species
GUCGUGGGGCGUGCGAGUUACGGAGGGGGCUAGGGUAGAGAAGGUGGAGGUCUCGUGGCGGUGGAGGACGGUGCGGGGUGGGGCGGAGUGGCGCGUGGCGGCCGGCGGCGGCGCGCGGGGAGGCCGUGCGGAUGGGGAUGGGGUUCACGGGGGUGUGGGCGCCGGAAGGUGGCGGCCGCUGUCAGAUGGGACUGACACAGCGAGGGUUCGGUGGGCUGGGGUUUAGCGAGCCCACAGCCGCCGCGACCGUCGUGUUCGUCGACGGUACUUCGACGCGCGGUGGGGGAACGGGGGAAGUGGAGGAAGGAGGGUGAACGUGUGUACUCUUCCUUAACUUAGUCUCAGCCAGGGAGUUAGAUUUGGUCCUCCUCGCGGGUAACUUGUCCUACCACACGUCCAGCGCCUCUCAACGUAGCCGUUCACAGUCGAGUAUAGAACUUCACGGUACCUCGUUUCGAACACUCCUACGUCCCCGGCAACCACCACAACCUGAAUAGCGUCCAACUUGGUGUAGAACGAAAGGAAAAGAAAACGGUUAGACGAGAGAACAGAGAGCCUCAGUGUUUAACCAGUAGGUACGUAGAGAAGAAGAAUUAUCUAUAUAUUGUAACUAAACUAACCAUUAUGACUACCGUCUAACGACGUUAAAUAACUUAAACUAGAUUAAAUAAAACCCUAACAAUUUAAACACUAAAAAAUGUAUGUUAGAUACCUAUGGAGUACCUCUAGCCAGCUUCGUUUGAUAAGAGUAGUCGAAGUCAUUACACAGACUACGGUAAACCGGGUAUACCGUCCCAAUUGUAGUAGUUACCGGACGGGGUCAGCAGUCCUUGAUGGUUACAUAGAAGGAUAAACUAGGUUUUACGUAUGUGUGUACUAAUACUACCUCUAUGAUAGGCUUGAACGGUAGUUGUCCUAACUCGUUACACCGUAUAUUCGAAAUCGAACGACCAAGUCUAAUAGUCACAAUUAGAAGACCAACACCGUUAAAAAGUCUGAAAAACUCUCCCACAGUACACAGUCUACUCUCUCCGUUGACUACACCAAGAAAUAGUACAACGACGGUAGCGUUGGUGUACAAUUAAUUUCACGUCCAUGAGGUCAGUCAGCCCUCGAGAUAUUUACUCCUUUCGCCUUUCUCGGUACCGCACUACCGAUGUAUAAGUAGAUGGAACUGUUGGAAAUUCAUGGUUGUCAACUUAUUAGCAUCCAAAAUAAACCUCUUGUUUUUAUAUUCUAAAUUACGAUGGGUUAUAAACAUUAACUUUUUCUAUCUAACAUGCACGAAAUGUAAUAUAUCCACCAACGGAGUUAUACAAAG